rnacentral:lncRNA from 1 species
GUGGUCAGCCAUGCAAUUAAUCCUCAUGAAACCAAAUGUAGUCAUCUAACCUGAAAAAGAAAUGAGAAAAAAAGAAGAAGAAGAAAAAACUCACCUUUAUACCAUCAAAACUUCCAGUAAUUCCCAAGUUUCAACCUUUUUAUAAUUCCCAGAAAGAAAUUCCAAUAAAAUAAUUUUAACACCAGGAUAAACCAACAAAGGAACAAAACACAAUUUUCAGAUUUACAUUCAAAAGUGAUCAGUAAUCAUCAAAAUUACAAUCUAACAAAAAUUCACCUUUUUUUUUUCAAAUUUUCCAGGUAUUCCCAAGUUUCAACCUUUGAUAAUUACCAGCAACAAAUUCCAAUAAAAUAAUUUUUCCUGGGGAAAAAAAAAACCCUAAUUAAGAAAUGGAAUAAAAAGUGAUCAAUGGUCAUCAAAACUACAAUCUAACAGAAACCCUCCAAGAUUCUGUCCUUAGAAGACAAUGCAUGCGUUGCAUGUGGUUAUAUAUAUAUCUAUCAAAUAAAACCCACCAUUAAUUCUGAAAUUCCAGAAGAAAAAACAGAAAUUUAGAGAAAAUGCAAGAGUCGAUUAAAUAUUUAAAUAAAAAGAACCAAAUUGAAAGAUGAUCAGAAAGAGAAAGAUCGAGAGAUCUAAAAGGAAGAAAUUAAAAAACAAAAAAAAAAGGAAAAAAAAAAUUAUCUGCAAGUUAAGAGAGAGAGAAAGAAGUUCCUACGGAAAAUUAC